CUUUCUUGCUGUGGGGGCAGCAGGGAACUGCUUGACCUCUGGGUUUCCUUUGGUUCAAUUAAGGUGAUAAUUCUUGCCUGGCCUUACAGAUGUAGCUUCCUUAUUUUGUACAAUGGCAACCACCCUUACAGCACACAGCUGUCAAUAAGAACUUCACGCAUGUUUGUGCAAGCUGGUGUUGAUGCUAGGACAUCUACAACUUUCAAGAUAAUAAAAAAAAGAACUCAAUCUUCAUUCAAAAGUAAAGAGAUUUUCAACAAGAGUGCCAAGAGCAUUCAAUAGGAAAAAGAAUAUCCCUUCAACAAAUGAUGCUGAGGAAACUGGAUAUCCAUAUGCAAGAAAAUGAAGUUGGAUCGUUACCUUACACUAUAAACAAAAAUUAACUCAAAAAGGAUAAAAGAUCUAAACGUAAAAGCUAACCCUUAGAAUAAAACAUAGAUGAAAAUGUUUAUGAUGGAUUUGGCAAUAAUUUCUUGGAUGUGACACCAAAGGCACAGGUAAAAAAAGAAAAAAAAUCAGUAAAUUGGACAGCAUAAAAAUUUAAAACUUAUACAUCAAAGAACACUAUCAACAGAGCGAAAAGGCAACAUACAGAAGUGGGGGAAAUAUGUGUAAACCAUAUAACUGAUAAGAGGUUAAUAUUAAGGAUACAUACAUAAAAUUAAGAAAUGGGCAAAACAACUUGAAUAGACAUUUCUACAAAGAAUAUAUACAUGUCACAUGUAAUGACAUCCAUAUGCUCAAAAUAAAGGGAUGGAGGAAAAUCUACCAGGCAAAUGAAAAACAGAAAAGAGUAGGGGUUUCGAUCCUAAUUUCAGACAGAACAGACUUUAAACCAACCGAGAUCAAACAAAGAAGAGCAUUACAUAAUGGUAAAUGUUUCAAUUCAACAAGAAGACCUAACUAUCAUAAACAUAUAUUCACCUAACACGGGAGCACCCAGAUUCAUAAAGCAAGUGUUAGAGAACUAUAAAUAGGCAUAGGCUUGCACACAAUCAUAGUGGGAGACUUCAACACUUCACUGAAAGUAUUAGACAGAUCAUCAAGGCAGAAAUUAAACAAAGAUAUUUAGGAUCUGAAUUCAGCAUUGGACCAAAUGGAUCUGGUAGACCUCUACAGAACUCUCCACCCCCAAACAAUGGAAUAUACAUUCUUCUAAGAUGUACAUAACUCAUACUCUAAAACUGACCACAUAAUUGUCCAUAGAACAACCCUCAGCAAAUGCAGAAGAACGAAAAUCAUACCAAACGCACUCUCAGACCACAGCACAAUAAAAAUAGAAGUCAAGACUAAAAAAAUCACUCAAAACCAUACAAUUACAUGGAAAUUAAACAUGCUAAAUGAUUUUUGGGUAAAUAAUAAAAUUAAGUCAGAAAUGAAGAAAUUGUUUGAAGUGAAGGAAACCAAAGUUACAACAUACCAGAAUCUCCGGCACACAGCUAAAACAGUGUUAAGAGGGAAGUUCAUAGCACCAUAUGCCUACAUAAAGAAAGCUAGAAAGAUCUCAAAUUAACAACCUAACACGAAAAACCAUUCAAAAGAUCAACGAAUCAAGGAGUAGGUUUUCUGAAAAAAUUAAUAAGAUUGAUAGGGAUAGGCUGCUAGUGAGACUAUUAAAGAAGGAAAGAGAGAAGAUAGAAAAAAAUUAGAAAUGACAAAGGAGAUGUUACCACUGACCCCACAGAGAUAAAAAAUUACCAUCAGAAACUACUACGAACAUGUUGAUGCACACAAACUGGAAAACCGAGAAGAUAUGGGUGAAUUCCUGGACCCAUAUACCCUCACAAAAUUGAGCCAGGAAGAAAUUGAUUCCCUGAACAGAACAAUGACUAGCUCCAAAAUUGAAUCAGUAAUAAAUAGCCUAUCAACCAAAAAAAAGCCCAGGAUAGAAUGGAUUCACAGCCAAAUUCUACCAAAUGUACAAAGAAAAGCUGCUAUUAUUCCUACUGAAACUAUACCAAACAACUGAAGAGGAGAGAUUAUCGGUCAACUCAUUCUAUGAAUCUAGCAUCAUUGUGAUACCAGAACUUGGCAGAGAGACAAUGAAAAAGAGAAAACUUCAGGCCAAUAUCCUUGAUGAACAUUGAUGUAAAAAUCCUUAACAAAAUACUUGUAAACCAAAUCCAUCAGCACAAUAGAAAAGCUAAUCCACCAUGAUCAAGUAGGCUUCAUCCCUGGGAUUCAAGGUUGGUCCAACAUAUGCAAGUCAAUAAAUGUGAUUCAUCACAUAAACAGAACUAAAAGCAAAAACCACGUGAUUAUCUCAAUAGAUGCAGGAAAAAUUUUCAAUAAAAUUUAAUACACAUUCAUGUUAAAAAAAAAACUCUCAAUAAAAUAGGUAUUGAAGGAACAUACUUCAAAAUAAUAAGAGCCAUCCAUGACAAACGCACAGCAAACAUCAUACUGAAUGGGAAAUAUCUGGAAGCAUUCCUCUUGAAAACCAGCACAAGGCAAGGACACCCUCUUUCACCACUCCUAUUUAACAUGGUUUUGGAUGUUCCAGCUAGAGCAAUCAGGCAAGAUAAAAAAAAAAAAAAAAAAAAGACAUCCAAAUAGGAAGAGAGAGGUCAAACUAUCCCUGUUUGCAGAUGAUAUAAUUCUAUAUCCAAGAAAAUGCCAUAGUCUCAGCCCAAAAGCUCCUUCAGCUGAUAAAUAACUUCAACAAUUUUCAGGAUACAAAAUCCAUGUACAAAAAUCACUCGCACUCCAAUACACCAAAAACAGCCCCCGUUUUGAGAGCCAAAUCAGAAAUGCAAUCACACUGACAAUUGCCACGAAAUGACUAAAAUACGUUUUACCAGGGAGGUAAAAGAUCUCUGCAAUGGGAAUUAGAAAACAUUGCUCAAAAAAAGUCAGAAAAGACACAAAGGGAAAAACAUUCCACUCUCAUGGAUUGGAAAAAUCAAUAUCAUUAAAAUGGCCAUUUUGCCCAAAGCAAAUUACAGAUUCAACGAUACUUGUAUCAAACUAGCAAUGACAUUCUUCACAAAACUAUAAAAAAGAACUAUUGGCUGGGCGCGGUGGCUCACGCCUGUAAUCCCAGCACUUUGGGAGGCCG
rnacentral:lncRNA from 1 species